rnacentral:lncRNA from 1 species
GUAACUGUUUCGGGUCAAAUUACUUCUAUGGCAACUAAAUAUUGUUUCCAUAUGGUUAAAUUUUGUUUGUUUGGACUGACCAUAGAAAAUGAUUCCUUGAAUUGGCAAUCGCUUCAAUGUAGUACUCCCUCCGUCCCGCAAUAAGUGACUCAAAAAUGACUCAACUUUGUACUCCUUCCUUCAAUUGGAGUAUAUGUUUUCUUUUCUCAUAGGAAAGGAGAGUGCUUUAAUUUUUUACAGAACAAAAUUGAGAUUGAUUUAUUCUUUAGUUAAAAUUGGUGCCACGAAUAUGUUUCAUGGAAUCUGAGAAUUGUUCCAAACGUAUCGAUAAAGUACUUCCAAUAUAGUAAAAAUUGGCAGUCUGAGGAUUUUGCAUUGAACCUCUUUUAAAAUGGUGAUGAAAGACCACACAUGUUGAAGAUAAGUUUGGCCUUAAUCUAAUCGAGAAACAACUGUUUUUCAUACCAGACAAGCAACUACUCCUCUCUGACUCAAUGUGCCACACCAUUCACUCACCGCUGUAAUCCAUACACAUGUUCAGUACCUUUUGAAUUUUAUGCUCCCGCUUCUCCAUGUGUCAACCCCUUUGUUCCUUGUUGACCCUAGCUUGUCUUGAUGCAACAUCAAGCAACAACAAAAUAUUACACCUGAUACGACAUCAAGCUAUACAGGAACUAUUAGACCACCCAAAUUAUUGAAGCUUCAGAAUUUGUGUCUGGGUCCAUGCCUAAUAAACUGGAAGAAAACCAAAAGAUACUUAUUGAUAUGAAUCAACUUGGUUAAGUAUGGUCAAAUACAAUGCACGGUGGAAUAUCUGCCCUAGAAAACAAAAGAAAAGGAGAUGGAAGAAAUCAUGCACUCAAUGGGUGGCUGUAAGUUCACGGGUAUCAAGACUUGGCUCACAUAUCAUUGAUCAUGGGUCUGUGUCAAUAUGGCUCUGGUGCCCAGUUUAUCACGGUGUUUUGUUAUUAUUUCCGAGAUAGUACUUUCUAUUAUAGUGUUGAGAUAAGCAAUUUAGAUGUUUUAAAUAUUCCCAGCUCUUUGGAUAAGAAGUAUUUCAGUAACUGAAUAAUCUUUGACCGUCCAAAAGAACUAUGAUGUUUCUUUGGGAAUAACAACAGAACAAAAAAUCCGAGAAUCAUGGCUGACCUAUGAGGCGCAGAUGUUGUCGAGGACCUAUAACCAUGCCUCCUAUCCUUUGCGCAACCUUGAAACCACGAGUAAUUACCUGGCAUUAUUUCAUUAUCUCAGCUGGUUUUAUGACUUCGAACAUAUGAGAGUAGUCUAACAUGUAAAAUAAUUCUUUCUCAGGUUCCAAAUAAGUCAACAGUAGGUCAAAAGUAGAGGUGAAACAUUGCCAGGCAGACAGACACACAACAAUAGCCGAUGAUUAUAGCUUAAGGUCCAAUGAGGAUAAUAUAAGUAGUGGAAAACGGAAUUUUGUAUCCACAUCCCUAUUGAUCAAGGAGUAAGUCAACAUGAUACAAGGAACGUACAACAACACCCGAGACAAUAUAAUUACAACACUGCAGAAAAAUUAGAGAUCCAUGUAAUCAAAUAUCUCUUUGUUAAAUUUUAGCUGAACAACUUAACUUAUAGAGUGUCGAUGGUUCAGAUCUUUUUCCUUUUAAUUAACAUGUGAGUUAUUAUAAAGUGGGUAAUUUCUUUUUGCGGUAUAUAAAGUGGGUAAUUCAUAUAGACUAAGACAUGGAAAAAGGGUGUAGGUGGUGCAAAUUCAUAGCAAGUUUUAUAUUGGAUGCACACAAACAACUGUGUGGACACACAAAAAGAAAACAAUCAC